GACGAACGCUGGCGGCGUGCUUAACACAUGCCAGUCGAACGGAAAGGCCCUGCUUUUGUGGGGUGCUCGAGUGGCGAACGGGUGAGUAACACGUGAGUAACCUGCCCCUGACUUUGGGAUAACUUCAGGAAACUGGGGCUAAUACCGGAUAGGAGCUCCUGCUGCAUGGUGGGGGUUGGAAAGUUUCGGCGGUUGGGGAUGGACUCGCGGCUUAUCAGCUUGUUGGUGGGGUAGUGGCUUACCAAGGCUUUGACGGGUAGCCGGCCUGAGGGGGUGACCGGCCACAUUGGGACUGAGAUACGGCCCAGACGCCUACGGGAGGCAGGAGUGGGGAAUAUUGCACAAUGGGCGGAAGCCUGAUGCAGCAACGCCGCGUGCGAGAUGACGGCCUUCGGGUUGUAAACCGCUUUCGCCUGUGACGAAGCGUGGGUGAGGGUAAUGGGUAAAGAGGCACCGGCAAACUACGG
rnacentral:rRNA from 1 species